GGAUGAAGAACGCAGCGAACUGCGAUAAGUAAUGUGAAUUGCAGAAUUCAGUGAAUCAUCGAGUCUUUGAACGCACAUUGCGCCCCCUGGCAUUCCGGGGGGCAUGCCUGUCCGAGCGUCAUUGCUGCCCUUCAAGCCCGGCUUGUGUGUUGGGUCGUCGUCCCCCCCGGGGGACGGGCCCGAAAGGCAGCGGCGGCACCGCGUCCGGUCCUCGAGCGUAUGGGGCUUUGUCACCCGCUCGAUUAGGGCCGGCCGGGCGCCAGCCGGCGUCUCCAACCUUCUAUUUUACCAGGUUGACCUCGGAUCAGGUAGGGAUACCCGCUGAACUUAAGCAUAUCAAUAAGCGGAGGA
rnacentral:misc_RNA from 1 species